ACUCCUACGGGAGGCAGCAGUGGGGAAUUUUGGACAAUGGGCGCAAGCCUGAUCCAGCCAUUCCGCGUGAGUGAAGAAGGCCUUCGGGUUGUAAAGCUCUUUCGCAAGGGAAGAAAACUUACUUUCUAAUAAAGAGUGAGGUUGACGGUACCUUGAUAAGAAGCACCGGCUAACUACGUGCCAGCAGCCGCGGUAAU
rnacentral:rRNA from 1 species